rnacentral:piRNA from 1 species
UAUGGCAAUUAUUAUGGCAAG